rnacentral:rRNA from 1 species
UGGGGAAUCUUGCGCAAUGGGCGAAAGCCUGACGGAGCGACACCGCGUGGAGGAUGAAGCCCUUCUUGGGCGUAAACUCCUGUUCUGAGGGACGAAAUUUUUGACGGUACCUCAGGAGAAAGUAUCGGCUAACCCUGUGCCAGCAGCCGCGGUAAGACAGGGGAUACAAGCAUUACUCGGAAUUACUGGGCGUAAAGCGUCUGUAGGCGACCAAGCAAGUCGGGGGUGAAAGUCCAAAGCUCAACUUUGUGAUUGCCCUGGAAACUGCUUGGAUUGAGCCACUGAGAGGCACCUGGAAUGCCAUGUGGAGGAGUAAAAUCCGUAGAGACAUGGUGGAACGCCAAAAGCGAAGGCAGGGUGCUAGCGGUCGGCUGACGCUGAGAGACGAAAGCGUGGGGAGCAAAGGGGAUUAGAUACCCAGGUAGUCCCUGAGCGGGCUGGCAAGGCGCAU